AACGUAGGAGGCGAGCGUUAUCCGGAUUUACUGGGCGUAAAGGGUGUGCAGGCGGGUCGUUAAGUAGUGCAUGAAAGCCACAGGCUCAACCUGUGGAGGAUGUGCUAGACUGGCGGCAUAGAGUGUGUGAGAGGGAUGUGGAAUUCCGGGUGUAGUGGUGAAAUGCGUAGAGAUCCGGAGGAACACCAGAGGCGAAGGCGGCAUCCUGGCACACAACUGACGCUGAGACACGACAGCAUGGGGAGCGAACGGG
rnacentral:rRNA from 1 species